rnacentral:lncRNA from 1 species
AUGGUAUGGGUGAGAGCUCGGCACGACGAAGAGGAACGGGAGAAGAAAGAGAGAGAAAGGGGGAACUUGUCGGUCCCUCUCGCCCGUUCCGCCUCCACUCUUUCACUGUCACCUUCUCUCCUUCACAAGAGGUGGAAAAAAGGAGGAAAAAUCAAAAAAUGUGACUCUAAAAAAAGCAGGAAAGUUGUGAGGCAUCUCUCCAUGGGUGCAAAGGAGGACUGGAUAAGCUGGGCUGACUUAGAUUUUAGGAAGGAGCAGGAUGUCCAGGAGGAGGAGGAUGUCCAGGAGGGACACAAAACAAAAGACGAGUUCAGGCUAACAAAAGACAAAAAACCAGAGGAACAUUUAGAUGAACCUAAAGCUAAAAACACACCAACAGAACACAAAGAGAUGACGGUGGUAGUGAAAGAAAGGAUGGAAACACAGGAAGGAAACGCAUCUAUAAAGGAGGAAGAACAACUUAAAGAGGAGUCAGACAGCAGAACAGGACAGAGAGAGGACAGUCCAGCCAACCACCAGACUGAUGAAAGCACUCUCCAACUACCAGAAGCUUCAUCAAACUGUGAGCAGGAAGAAAAACUGGAGGACCAAUCACAAACUCUGGAGGAGCAAAGCCACGUCCAGGACAAUGAGGCGACAGAUGCGAACAGAGGGACAGAAAGUCCUAAGCAUGCAUGUGUGGUGGAAGAUAACAGUGCUGAAGGGGCGGAGCUGCGGGACUCUAGAGAAGAGCCAGACGAGGGCGCAGAACCUGAAAAUACAGCAGGAGCAAGAACGGACACAGUCAAAGAGGUCCCUGAGCCAGGAAGUGAGACACCUUUGGUCCCAGAACAAGAGCCUAAGGAAGAUGUUCAGCAGGACCAGGAACAAGUCAUCACAGAGACUAAAGUGGAAAAAUACCAAAGCGCUGAGUCCUUAUUAGAAACAGAAAACGAAGAGUCCCACACCCAGACAGAGACGGAUGUAGAAAAUGUUGCUGUGCAGGAUGAAAUUACACAAACAGAUCCAGAAUGCACAGAGACAGAAGAAACGUCUUUACCCGAGUGUGUCCAACUAAACAGGGACACUGAUAUCAUCACCGAUACUCCAGCUGGAGCUGAAGAGGCAGCAGCCCCCGAACCGGAGCAGGAAACGGGUGGAGCAGAUGCAUCGGGACCUACAGAGACAUGCAGCGAGUACAGGAGACUUGAUCAGAUGAAUGCAGAUGACACUCAAACAACAGUCCAUACAAAUGAGGAGACUGAUGCGUGUGUCUUACCUGGAGAAAAGGAGGAAACAGCACAGGAGGAGGUGCUGAAGGACAUCCCAGAACUGGGUCAGAGUUCAGAACAAACACCUGAACACUCAGAGAGUCAGGUCCCUACAGUGGUUGGAAGCACAGGACAUGUUGCAGAAGACACACAAGGAGAGGACAUUUUCACCUCCGUGAAGGAGGAACCGGGUACUGACAGCAGCACCAACACCCAGGAGCCCGAGUCUCAGAGGACAAAAGCCGAACACAACCACCAGCAACAAACCUCUGGGCGUCGCAGCAGCCGUUCUUCUGCCGAUUUCUGUGUUCGCAAGUCAUCCAGCUCCAAGUUCACACGAAGACUUUCUGAGGAUUUGUUCAUCAGUCCUGAGAAAUUAGGCCAGCUUGCUCCUAAUCACCCCGUGGAACAGCCCGAAGAGGUGGACACAAGCCAAACCUGUCCAAAAGGGACAGGAGAUGUCCCAACGCAACAGGACUCCUCCAAACGCUUCGGUCUCUUCCGCAAACUCAAAGGAGAUCAGCCCCGGACAGCCAAGGAGAAGAAGAAACCCAAAAUGCAAAUCCCCAAAAUCCUGAUUCAGGACUUCGGUGAUGUGGUCGGGACAGAGAAGCCGGCUGAGGAGGGAGCGGAGGAGAAACUGAGCUCCAGGGAGAGGAGGAGGAGACGGAGGGAGCAGGAGAGAAUAGAGAAGGAGGAGAAGGUAAAGAAGAAGAAAGAGAAGGAGUUGGAGAGGGAGAGGAGGAAGCCCCAAAGCAGAGGGAAAAGUUUUCAGGAGCAGAAGAAGAAAGCUGGUGACGAUGGAGCUCAUCCUGCAAAGAUGGCGCCACAGACUCGUAGAUUUUCUGCUGCUUAUGAUCAAUCUUAUUUUUAA